rnacentral:rRNA from 1 species
UUGAGUGCUUGCACUUUGGCAGACUGAGUGGCGGACGGGUGAGUAACGCGUGAGGAACCUGCCUUUCAGAGGGGGACAACAGUUGGAAACGACUGCUAAUACCGCAUAAGCGCACGGUUCCGCAUGGAACAGUGUGAAAAACUCCGGUGGUGUGAGAUGGACUCGCGUCCAAUUAGCUAGUUGGUGAGGUAACGGCCCACCAAGGCGACGAUUGGUAGCCGGACUGAGAGGUUGAACGGCCACAUUGGGACUGAGACACGGCCCAGACUCC